GUUUGAGGACAGGAAGUGGAGCAGGGAGGGACUAAACACUGGAGUUUCCUAACUGGCUCAAAUGUUUUUGUCAUGGCCUUGUUGGGCCUUGUUCACAGGUCUGUGGGAACCACAGGAAGUAGGACCAAGGGCCAAUUUCAUCACUGAGUCUAGGGGAGGAGCCCUGGUAACUCAAGCAGCCAUUCUGGAGAGGGAAGCCAGGAUCACUAGCCCAUCAUAAUAGCUCCAGCCAGCCCACUGGCCAAUUCAUACUUGUGGAACUCCACUGCCUUCCCUCCUAUAGCCUGCACCCCUACUCGAGACUUACUGAGCUCCAAGCUGGCAGAUGAUGAUGCUUGUCAUCUCACCCUCCUCCUCUGGGAGUCGCUUCAGUUCAAAGCAGGCUCCCAGGCCUUACAAUCGGAUACAAAGAUGGUCAGGAGCCUUUUUCUCAUGAUCUGUACAAGUGGUGGUGACUGCUCACCAACUGCAUGCUAAUCUAUCCACUCUGAGACGCUGGAAGAUUACCACACUGGACAUAGAAGAUUUCCUCAGACUGCUCUGUGGUGCGAGUGGUGGCAUUCUCAAGAAGGAGAGGCCCAGCAGUCCCCCAGUGGAAGCCCCCAUUUCCUCCCUGGUCAAAUGGCAAGGUGGAGUUGGUUAAGUUGACCUUUCAUGGCCACCCUCCUCCAAUGUUCUGUGUUUCUAAGGUGGCUACUGGUGCAGCUGUGUGGAGAAGCCUUCCAGUUCCUCCAGUGUCAUGGCCUGGGACCUGCCUGGGUUUCUCAACUCUAUCAUUGCAACUGCUCCCACUGCAAAGAUGAGCAAACAGGCUUGGAGAUGCGAGAUGAUCUGUGAUACUAGGUGGCACCCCUAAGACUCAAUCCCACUAUGAUAGACAGCUAAGUUAGGUAGAAUAUUCCAGGCAGUCAGAUAGCGUCAGGACAAAGGUGAAACACACCACAACUAUGGCCAAAGACACAUCAGUUAUAGGCCAGGCUUCAAGAUAUAGACAAAAUGCCCAGGCCUGCAUACUUCUUCAAAGGACAAACACCAGGCCUAAUGAAGUCUAGAUAGACAUCAGUCACCCUCGUGGGUGACCAAGACCUCUGGACCCAUCAUUUCCUAGAAAAAGUCUUUGUUCUUUCCAUGCACUCUUGUUCCAUGACUUGUUUCUCCAUUAGAUAACUAUUUACCUAAGCGACCAUACUCGUAACCUUAUUGGUUAAUCGCAGCUGUAACCCAUGUUGUAUACACAUGGAUUUUGCUAUGUACAACUUCCCUGCAAAAUGGAGUCUCUUGCUACCCAUUCAGUUCUCUCCUGCCUCUCAGGAGCUACCCUCUCAAAAAAUAUUUUCUUACUCUUAACCUCCGUCAUUUCUAGAAUUCAUUCUUCGAUUUUAGAGAACCUGAACUUGGCAUAGCAGACAUCUAAUACGUUGGGAGUUAUAAUAUUUUCAUAUUUCAUCUCCUCUAUCACCACUUUCCACAUUCUGCAGCUGUCAGACAUAGAGUUAUUCUCUCCAACCUCUUCUAGUUGUUUUCAGCUGCUGUUGUCUUACUGGAGGUCAGAGGUGGGACUCUGAGGCUUAGACAGGAUGAGAAGCAGUUUUUGCUGGAGGUAGCCAGGGAUCCUCGACCAUCAGAUUGCAGAAAGCCCUUGUAGACCUACAGGAUGCCUGUGUCACUGUUUUCUGUCAUCCCUUGAGGGCUUUGGUUGAACAUAUAGUUAGACGUAUUUUCCAAAUCUCUAAAAGGCAGGAUGGCAGCAGGACAGUGGGAAGGGGGUCUGCAGUGGGUGUCAAGUACAGAGAACAGCUUUUCUGCUUCUAGAGAUGCACGUUUUGGCUUGCCUCACCUUGAAAUUGGAGAUUUCAUGGAGGAAAAUAUGUCAAGGUAGACAGAGUCUCUCCUUCAUGAGAUGUCAGAUGGCUAUUCUUGCAUGCAGUUAUUUUCUUUUAAAGUAAUUCAUAAUGGCAGAGCUCACUGCUGUAAUCAGUUUCUGUUUCCAUUAUAAAUUCAAUUUUGGAAGGUGAUGAUGGUGUUAUUUCAUCUUCCUCGGGGCCUCAAAUUUAUAUAGAUUUUUUACACACACACACACACACACACACACACACACACACACACAAAGCAGCAGCAGUUUGUAUGUUUAGAACAACUAAAAGCCUGGGCUUUUGGAGGAUAGUUUAGCAAUAGGAAUUUAGGCAAGAAUAGGGUAACAAGUAGGUAUCAACUUCCUUGUCAGCUCUGAACAAUUAGUAGAGAAGACUGAAGUAUUUUGUUGAGAAGGAUUCUGAGACCAUGACUAGAAUACAAAGAAGAGAGCUGUGAUUGAUUAGUGAUGUCUGUCAGGGCGCUCUGUCUGCAGCAAGGGAGAGGGGUAGAGGAAACCACUCAUCUAUAUACACUGCAGUAAGUUUUCUCCCAACAAGGACUUCUUCUUCAUAGCCUUUGAUAGUUGCAAAAGCAUUUUUUAUGAACUUUUUUUUUAUUUAGCCGUUACAUUAACUGGGUAAAUUCACUAGAGCUAAUUUAUCUUCCUAUUGAUUUACCUGCUAGAUAUUUAUUAGAUAAGUUACUGUACCAGAC
rnacentral:lncRNA from 1 species